UACAGAGGCCUCGAGCGUUAGGCGGAAUCACUGGGCUUAAAGCGUGUGUAGGUGGAUGCCUAAGUACCUUGUGAAAUCCCAUGGCUUAACCAUGGAAUUGCUCGGUAUACUGGGUGUCUUGAGCCACUCAGGGGCUACCGGAACAAGCGGUGGAGCGGUGAAAUGCGUAGAUAUCGCUUGGAACGCCAGAGGUGAAAACAGGUAGCUGGGGGUGUGCUGACACUGAGACACGAAAGCCAGGGGAGCAAACGGG
rnacentral:rRNA from 1 species